GUCCUACGGGGCGCAGCAGUGGGGAAUAUUGCACAAUGGGGGAAACCCUGAUGCAGCGACGCCGCGUGAGUGAAGAAGUAUUUCGGUAUGUAAAGCUCUAUCAGCAGGGAAGAUAAUGACGGUACCUGACUAAGAAGCCCCGGCUAACUACGUGCCAGCAGCCGCGGUAAUACGUAGGGGGCAAGCGUUAUCCGGAUUUACUGGGUGUAAAGGGAGCGCAGACGGCUGUGCAAGUCUGGAGUGAAAGGCGGGGGCCCGACCCCCGGACUGCUCUGGAAACUGUAAAGCUGGAGUGCAGGAGAGGG
rnacentral:rRNA from 1 species